rnacentral:rRNA from 1 species
UACGGGGGGAGCAAGCGUUGUUCGGAUUUACUGGGCGUAAAGGGCGCGUAGGCGGCGCAACAAGUCACUUGUGAAAUCUCCGGGCUUAACCCGGAGCGGUCAAGUGAUACUGUCGUGCUAGAGUGCGGAAGGGGCUACUGGAAUUCUCGGUGUAGCGGUGAAAUGCGCAGAUAUCAGGAGGAACACCAAUAGCGAAGGCAGCACUCUGGUACGUGACUGACGCUGAAGACGCGAAAAGCCGUGGGGGAGCAAACAGG